AUGUUUGUUCCACUUCUACCAACGAGAAUGACAAUUGUCAAAGUGAUCACUGGGACCUGGCAGACUACCCAUUGGUCAACAAAUAAAGAGAUCCGAAUUCUCUUACCAAGUGAAGCCUCUGACAUACAAGCCUUAGAGUCCAGGAGUCUGGGGCAAACGUUUCUCUGGGAGGAUCUGGAUUCAUGAUAGAAAAAUUGUGUGGACAAUGCUGGUGUCUCAUGAAAUGAUUAAGGUUCUCUGCGUGUGCUGAAAAUUCCUGAGCCGUGACCUGAUUCGGCGAGGCUGACCUGAGCCGUGUGAGAAUUUUGCCGUUCUGUUAAUGACAGUGCAGCACGUUGAAGCUCUAUCUUAAACACAGAAUUUUCAUUUGAGAAGUCAGAAUAACCUUCAACUCCAUGAGACAUGUGCCUAGUUACCAGGACCCGUGGAAGGCCCAUGGACCAGAACAGGUGGGGAGACCCCACGACAAAACUCAUCCACUAUCUGUAGCAGCACUAAGUUAUCCUGGGUGACCCGAAUCAACCACAAUAUUGAAACAGCUGUUUUCCUUGAACCGCUACAUAUUUUCCAAUAGGAGAAUUCAGCUUGUCUUAACAUUCUUAAGUAGAAAGAAAUGCUGUGAUGACAAAUUUACCAUCUUCAGAGUAAUCUACGCAUUAUUUCUUCCAGUAUUAAGAUUGCUCUCAGUAGCAAAAUGGUUUGUCUACAGAAACAAUCCUCUCUAAGUAGAUGCCGGGCUGACAUCCACACUGCCUGGACUUUGAAAUCAUUAUUUCUGAUAGUAGAACUGGCUGACACUCUGAAUGGCAACUUGCUGCUCUCUAAUAAAUCCAAUAAAGCCAGAAAGAGAAAUGCGGAA
rnacentral:lncRNA from 1 species